rnacentral:rRNA from 1 species
CCUACGGGUGGCAGCAGUAGGGAAUAUUGCUCAAUGGGGGAAACCCUGAUGCAGCGACGCCGCGUGGGGGAUGAAGGUUUUCGGAUUGUAAACUCCUUUUGUUAGAGAAGAUAAUGACGGUAUCUAACGAAUAAGCACCGGCUAACUCCGUGCCAGCAGCCGCGGUAAUACGGAGGGGGCAAGCGUUACUCGGAUUCACUGGGCGUAAAGGGCGCGUAGGCGGGAGAGCAAGUCUGGUGUGAAAUCCCAGGGCUCAACCAUAGAGCUGCAUUUGAAACUGUGAUUCUAGAGUACUGGAGAGGUAGGCGGAAUUCUUGGUGUAGGGGUAAAAUCCGUAGAGAUCUAGAGGAAUA